rnacentral:lncRNA from 1 species
UAUUCACAUGGCUUUUGACUAUUUUGGGGGAUUUGUGUGACACAAUGGCUUGCUAUGAACACAAGUCCUCUAAUAUUAUUUGGCAGAAGUUUUCACACUUGUUAGAAUUGUUUGUCAUCAUAUUUAGUUGACCAUACUGUAUGAUUUGACUGUUCUUAGUAGAGUCAUAGGACUUCAACAAUUAUUUUGAUUAUUGGUACACAAUGAUACCUUGAGAUGGGACUUUUUUUUUGCCUUAAUUUGUGACUCUUUUCUUUGUCAAGAGUUAAUUAUACAAUUGUAGCUCAAAGACACCUUUUGAACAGAUAUAGUUAUUUUUUAAUGAAUACAUUUUGCUCUGUGUCAUUAAUGAUAGACAAAAUUUCUGUGAACCAUGAUAAAAAAACUGUGCAAUACAAGAAAGGUGCUGAAACAUCCUGAAUCUAUGCUGUUCUGUGUCAAUUUAUACUUUACUUGUUAAUUUGUGAAUAAUAAACAUUCAUCAGCCA